rnacentral:snRNA from 1 species
AUCGCUUCUCGGCCUUUUUAUUAGAUCAAGUGUAGUAUCUGUUCUUAUCAGCUUAAUAUCUGAUACGAUCCCCGCAUGUUGGGGUCUCUUGAAAUAACCGUUUUUGAGAUAUCAACGAGUGCUAGGGGCUUGCUCCACCUUUGCCGCGGAUCGGCCCGGUAUUGCAGUACCUCCGGGAUUGGUCCACUCCCC